rnacentral:rRNA from 1 species
UUAGUGGCGGACGGGUGAGUAACGCGUGGGUAACCUGCCUUACACAGGGGGAUAACACUUAGAAAUAGGUGCUAAAACCGCAUAAGCGCACAGCUUCGCAUGAAGCGGUGUGAAAAACUCCGGCGGUGUAAGAUGGACCCGCGUCUGAUUAGCUUGUUGGCGGGGUAACGGCCCACCAAGGCGACGAUCAGUAGCCGGCCUGAGAGGGCGGACGGCCACAUUGGGACUGAGACACGGCCCAAACUCCUACGGAAGGCAGCAG